CAGUAGCCGCGGUAAAACGUAGGUGGCAAGCGUUAUCCGGAAUUAUUGGGCGUAAAGCGCGCGUAGGCGGUUUUUUAAGUCUGAUGUGAAAGCCCACGGCUCAACCGUGGAGGGUCAUUGGAAACUGGAAAACUUGAGUGCAGAAGAGGAAAGUGGAAUUCCAUGUGUAGCGGUGAAAUGCGCAGAGAUAUGGAGGAACACCAGUGGCGAAGGCGGCUUUCUGGUCUGCAACUGACGCUGAUGUGCGAAAGCGUGGGGAUCAAACAGGAUUAGAUACCCGAGUAGUCCCUGUCUCUUAUAA
rnacentral:rRNA from 1 species